CGGUAUGCUUAACACAUGCAAGUCGAACGAAAUCUUUCGAGAUUUAGUGGCGGACGGGUGAGUAACACGUGAGAACCUACCUUCAGAACGGGGAUAACAGUUGGAAACGACUGCUAAUACCCCGAUGUGCCGAAAGGUGAAAGAUUUAUCGUCUGAAGAAGGGCUCGCGGCUGAUUAGCUAGUUGGUAAGGUAAAGGCUUACCAAGGCGACGAUCAGUAGCUGGUCUGAGAGGAUGAUUUAGCCACACUGGGACUGAGACACGGCCCAGACUCC
rnacentral:rRNA from 1 species